AGAGUUUGAUCCUGGCUCAGGACGAACGCUGGCGGCGUGCCUAAUACAUGCAAGUAGAACGCUGAAGAGAGGAGCUUGCUCUUCUUGGAUGAGUUGCGAACGGGUGAGUAACGCGUAGGUAACCUGCCUUGUAGCGGGGGAUAACUAUUGGAAACGAUAGCUAAUACCGCAUAACAAUGGAUGACACAUGUCAUUUAUUUGAAAGGGGCAAUUGCUCCACUACAAGAUGGACCUGCGUUGUAUUAGCUAGUAGGUGAGGUAACGGCUCACCUAGGCGACGAUACAUAGCCGACCUGAGAGGGUGAUCGGCCACACUGGGACUGAGACACGGCCCAGACUCCUACGGGAGGCAGCAGUAGGGAAUCUUCGGCAAUGGGGGCAACCCUGACCGAGCAACGCCGCGUGAGUGAAGAAGGUUUUCGAAUCGUAAAGCUCUGUUGUAAGUCAAGAACGAGUGUGAGAGUGGAAAGUUCACACUGUGACGGUAGCUUACCAGAAAGGGACGGCUAACUACGUGCCAGCAGCCGCGGUAAUACGUAGGUCCCGAGCGUUGUCCGGAUUUAUUGGGCGUAAAGCGAGCGCAGGCGGUUUGAUAAGUCUGAAGUUAAAGGCUGUGGCUCAACCAUAGUUCGCUUUGGAAACUGUCAAACUUGAGUGCAGAAGGGGAGAGUGGAAUUCCAUGUGUAGCGGUGAAAUGCGUAGAUAUAUGGAGGAACACCGGUGGCGAAAGCGGCUCUCUGGUCUGUAACUGACGCUGAGGCUCGAAAGCGUGGGGAGCGAACAGGAUUAGAUACCCUGGUAGUCCACGCCGUAAACGAUGAGUGCUAGGUGUUGGAUCCUUUCCGGGAUUCAGUGCCGCAGCUAACGCAUUAAGCACUCCGCCUGGGGAGUACGACCGCAAGGUUGAAACUCAAAGGA
rnacentral:rRNA from 1 species